rnacentral:rRNA from 1 species
CUACGGGAGGCUGCAGUGAGGAAUAUUGCACAAUGGGGGGAACCCUGAUGCAGCAACGCCGCGUGGAGGAUGACGCAUUUCGGUGUGUAAACUCCUUUUAUAUGUCAAGAAAAUGACGGUAGCAUAUGAAUAAGCACCGGCUAACUCCGUGCCAGCAGCCGCGGUAAUACGGAGGGUGCAAGCGUUACUCGGAAUCACUGGGCGUAAAGGACGCGUAGGCGGGUUGGAAAGUCAGGUGUGAAAUCCUACAGCUUAACUGUAGAACUGCACUUGAAACUUCUAAUCUAGAGUAUGGGAGGGGGAGAUGGAAUUAGUGGUGUAGGGGUAAAAUCCGUAGAUAUCACUAGGAAUACCGAAAGCGAAGGCGAUCUGCUGGAACAUUACUGACGCUAAGGCGUGAAAGCGUGGGGAGCAAACAGGAUUAGAUACCCCGGUAGUC